rnacentral:lncRNA from 1 species
UUUAUUUUUAUUUUUUUUAUAAAUAUGAUAAUAUAUUUUAAAAUUUACAUGUAUUAAAUAAUUGUUUAAUAUGAUACUUCUAGACACUAUAAUUUCCUAGUUUAUAUGAAAUAAUUUUAUUUUAUCAUGUAAAAUAACAAUUGUAUCAUUUAUAUUUUUAUAAUAUAAUAUGUGCAUCCGCACAAAUGUAUAUAUUUUAUGGUUCAAAAUUUUAUGAUAAUGUAUGAUAAAAAAAAUUAUAUACUAUUUAAAUCUGGUGCUAUAUAUCUUAUACUCUUUAACAUUUAUCAUAUUUAAUUUACAUUGGGCUAUUACUUAUAUGAAAUUAUACGUAAAAUAAUAUAUUUAUAUAUUAAUUUAUAUUUUAUUUAAAUGAUUAUUUUAUGUGACUUUUCU